rnacentral:RNase_P_RNA from 1 species
CAGGUAUAACAGAUAGUGACUUGAGUAAUCAAGAGGAAAGUCCGAGCUGCUGUAAGACAGUGUUCCAUUUAACGAAUGGCCGUAGUGAUGCGAGGGAAAGUGCAACAGAGAUUAGACUGCUAUAAGUAAUUAUAGUAACGGUGAAAAGGUGGAGUAAGAGCCCACCAGUUUCUAUAGUAAUAUAGAGAGCUUGUAAACCCAACAUGGCAGCAAGAAACAGAUGGUCAGCGUCUUACAAUGCUACUGUUUCGCUAGAGGCAUGACGUAAGUUAUGCAGUAGAUUAAUACUAUCAAAACAAAACUCGGCUUACGUUAUACCUAACUU